UACGUAGGGACCAAGCGUUGUUCGGAUUUACUGGGCGUAAAGGGCGCGUAGGCGGCAACUCAAGUCAGCUGUGAAAUCUCCGGGCUUAACUCGGAACGGUCAGCUGAUACUGUUUUGCUAGAGUGCAGAAGGGGCAAUCGGAAUUCUUGGUGUAGCGGUGAAAUGCGUAGAUAUCAAGAGGAACACCUGAGGUGAAGACGGGUUGCUGGGCUGACACUGACGCUGAUGCGCGAAAGCCAGGGGAGCGAACAGG
rnacentral:rRNA from 1 species